AGUAAACGGCGGCCGUAACUAUAACGGUCCUAAGGUAGCGAAAUUCCUUGUCGGGCAAGUUCCGACCUGCACGAAUGGCAUAACGAUGGCCACACUGUCUCCUCCUGAGACUCAGUGAAGUUGAAGUGUUUGUGAUGAUGCAAUCUCCCCGCGGCUAGACGGAAAGACCCCAUGAACCUUUACUGCAGCUUUGCAUUGGACUUUGAACCGAUCUGUGUAGGAUAGGUGGGAGGCUGUGAAACCGGGACGCCAGUCUCGGCGGAGCCGUCCUUGAAAUACCACCCUGAUUUGUUUGAGGUUCUAACCUAGGCCAGUCAUCCUGGUCGGGGACCGUGCAUGGUGGGCAGUUUGACUGGGGCGGUCUCCUCCUAAAGGGUAACGGAGGAGUGCGAAGGUACGCUAGGUACGGUCGGAAAUCGUGCUGAUAGUGCAAUGGCAAAAGCGUGCUUGACUGCGAGACCCACAAGUCGAGCAGAUACGAAAGUAGGUCAUAGUGAUCCGGUGGCUCUGUAUGGAAGGGCCAUCGCUCAACGGAUAAAAGGUACUCUGGGGAUAACAGGCUGAUACCGCCCAAGAGUUCAUAUCGACGGCGGUGUUUGGCACCUCGAUGUCGGCUCAUCUCAUCCUGGGGCUGUAGCCGGUCCCAAGGGUAUGGCUGUUCGCCAUUUAAAGAGGUACGUGAGCUGGGUUUAAAACGUCGUGAGACAGUUUUGUCCCUAUCUGCCGUGGGCGUUGGAAGAUUGACGGGGGCUGCUCCUAGUACGAGAGGACCGGAGUGGACUGACCUCUGGUGUACCGGUUGUCACGCCAGUGGCAUCGCCGGGUAGCUAUGUCGGGAAGAGAUAACCGCUGAAAGCAUCUAAGCGGGAAACUUGCCUGAAGAUAAGUCUUCCUGGAGGCUUGACCUCCCUGAAGAGUCGUUCGAGACCAGGACGUUGAUAGGUCGGGUGUGUAAGCGCUGUGAGGCGUUGAGCUAACCGAUACUAAUUGCUCGUGCAGCUUGAUCCU
rnacentral:rRNA from 1 species